rnacentral:rRNA from 1 species
UACGUAGGGUGCGAGCGUUAAUCGGAAUUACUGGGCGUAAAGCGUGCGCAGGCGGUCUGUUAAGACCGAUGUGAAAUCCCCGGGCUUAACCUGGGAACUGCAUUGGUGACUGGCAGGCUUUGAGUGUGGCAGAGGGAGGUAGAAUUCCACGUGUAGCAGUGAAAUGCGUAGAGAUGCGGAGGAACACCGAUGGCGAAGGCAGCCCCCUGGGCUGACACUGACGCCUCAGGCACGAAAGCGUGGGGAGCAAACAGG